rnacentral:lncRNA from 10 species
AGCAGGGCGUUUUUCUUCCUGGAGGGCCUGUGGAGCGGAGGCCCGAGGCCUAGGGCAAACUUGCCAUGAAGAAAGGAGAGGCUGUUCGAGAGCCCUAGGCUGGGAGUCGGAGGACCUGGGUUCGAUUUAUACAUACUUAAGCAUGUCAGUGAACUUCUGGGCACUUUAGUUUUCUGAUUUCCAGAAGUAAAUACUGUUUCCUGCCUUGCCGUUUCCCAAAGUUGUGCGGGUUGAAUGCCUCAAAUUCCUGCCUUUCCUCAAGAGAAGAGCCCCCAGGAGAAAAGCCAGUAUUGCUUGUGCUCCUAACAACCUGUCUCUUGGUUAUGGGAACUCUGUGAAGAGAAUAUGACUGUGUCCUGAAGAAUUUGGAUUAGUUUAAUAUGUAUGCAUAAUAUAUGUACACUUAUGUACGUAUUUAUGUUUAUAUGCAUCAAGAGAUACCUAGAAGAAGGUCCAUUAAAAUACUAUUAUUUUCUGUG